UACGUAGGGGGCGAGCGUUGUCCGGAUUUAUUGGGCGUAAAGAGCGUGUAGGCGGCCAGGUAGGUCUGCUGUGAAAACUCGAGGCUCAACCUCGAGACGUCGGCGGAAACCAUCUGGCUAGAGUCCGGAAGAGGAGAGUGGAAUUCCUGGUGUAGCGGUGAAAUGCGCAGAUAUCAGGAAGAACACCCGUGGCGGAAGGCGGCUCUCUGGGACGGUACUGGACGCUGAGACGCGAAAGCGUGGGGAGCGAACAGG
rnacentral:rRNA from 1 species